ACAGGGGCAGGAAAGGAGCCAAGAACUCACACUAACUAGGAGCAGUGCUUUUGUUCGUGUCUGGGAGCAGAGGUGGCUGUAGCAACCGCUAACAUGGCAGGAGGAGAGAUAAGAGACUAAUCCAUUGUUCAGCAACAGUGAUAUAUGUGCUCCUGGCUUCCAUUUUAGGGAGGGCCCAGCCCUGGGCGCGGCCAGCUUUGCUCUCUAUGGCACAGCGUGGGUGGUCACGGUUCCAGAAGCCACUUCCUUAAUCUUUCGAGGAGUCUCCACACUCCGUGGGCUCCGGUUCUAGCUGGAUCGCUUUACCAACCUGCUGAUCUCCACAGUGGUUGCCGGAUGAUGGAUUCAGUUCCACACUCCUGGCUUCAGUGCCCCCUCAAUGGCAGUGGUGGCAGAACUAAAAAGAUAAGACUCGAAGGACACAGAGAUGGUGACUAGGAAAGGAUGCUGUACCCAAAGAGGAUAUCACAUUGCCGAUAAGCAGAAGAGUUUUUGCCCUACCCAAAGGUGAAUUCAUGCUGAAAGGUGGAGAAAACCACGUGUCCACCAUGGACAAAUAAAUAAACCAAAUGUGGUCUACGGAUACAACGGAAUACCAUUCAGCCUUAAAAAGGAGGAGAAUUCUGACACAUACAACAAUAUGAAUGAACCCCAAAGACAUUAUGCUAUGCAGUUGCAAAAGGACAAAUUCUACACGAUUCACCUAUGUAAGGCCAAGAGACCUAUGGAACAAAUGGCCCUGACGGUGAAGUCAAGGAAAGCUGGAGGGAAAAUAAAUGAGAGGUCUAAGCAGAGGGCCUCCCCGCCCAGAUUCUGCUGGAACUCUGGCCUAAGCUCCCAGCCCGCAGCAUCCUAACCCUGUCUGCGACUGGGCUGGAAAACAAGAGUUUCUCUGGAAGCUGGAUGCCCACCAGGGAGCUCUGGAAGUGGGUUUUUGUGGCAUCCCCUCCAAUUAGCACCAGGAGAAUGGCCGACUGGGAAAGAG